CCGGAGAUGUCAUCGUCUUCCGACCGAGACUGUGAAAAACUCUCAUUUGCAAUCCGUAAAACUCAAAGCCCAAUAGCAUGCAGUGACUAACGUCAUCAUCUUCACCUUCCCCGGAGAUGUCAGUGUCUUUCGGCCAAGAUUGCGAUAAUGUCUUAUUUUCUAUCCUUAAGACUCAAAGCCCAAUAGCAUGAUUGACUAACGUCAUCAUCUUCACCUUCC
rnacentral:misc_RNA from 1 species